ACAGACGCCGAGCUCUGAUGCGCGCCAUCCUUCGAGGUCGCGGGCGACUGGAGGGGGGCGGCGGCGGCGGCGUUGCAGUCGGUUGUAGCUGGAGGGUUUUGAGGACGCACCCGGUCAUCGAACCAGGGAGGAACUGGAGAAAGAAAAUGAUAAAGGAAUGGAACUCGUAAGCGAAGGGCUCUGUUUGAUACAAUGGGCAUAUUUUGGCAUCGCCCACGUGGAUCCAUGCAGGCAGACAUGAUGAUGCAGACGUGAAACCUCAAGUAUGAUGUGACGCACAACACACACGUGGUGGGCAGCCGCUCCUCGCCCUCUCCGUACGAAUGACAUCAUCACAGUACAGUCACCCCGAAAAGCUCGGGAUGGCGUCGCACGGCGUUGAUCCGUACAAGCCGGUCGACGCUUGUACAGAAGUUUAAGUCAGCUGCUCGAGGAGUCGGUCGAAGUAAAUUGAUCCCGUACAACCAACUUAUACUCGCAGGAAAUCCCUCUCCCAACCCCGACUUGUGUGCAGGAGCUCAGCGACGGAGAAGCAGGCCACUCGUUAAGAGAGAAAACCGCGCUCGGGAGACGAGGCUCGAAUCCUACUUGUCCCGACGCUAACCCUCACCACUCGAGCAUCCACGUGAGCGACCUUGUGCAUCCGGGACCGAACCGAGCCGUACUGACACCUCGAUCACGACGUAAAGGUUCACUAACAGUUAGUUCUUUUUUCCUGAUUCUGUCGUCUAUUUUUGUUGCAGUAAAUUUUCUGUAAAAACCAAUAAUGGAAUCAUGAAGAUGAUCAAACACCUUGUGACUGUAAUUUACGUUAUGGCAUGAUUCGGAUUACAGAUAUGGGGCCAAAGGAAGCUUAUAUUCACAGCAAAUUUAUGUAUCACCAUGUUUUUUUUUUUGCCAUUGAGGCAUGCUCUUUGUGAACCAGUCAUGGAAGCAGUCUUGGAAUUCUUUUGUACAGCAUCCAGUAUCCAUUCUCAAGCAAUUAAAGUUUCCACAUCAUUGUCCUUAUUGGAAGAUAUGGUCAGCACAGUAUGAAGGAAUGGUAGGUGAGCUGCCAUGGUUGCCAUUCAAAGGU